rnacentral:lncRNA from 1 species
CUGAAAAUUUUGCUUCUUUGAAGUGAUGCUUUCUUCACAGAAAGCUUUCAAUAAUUUCUUAUGGGCCAAACCAAUCAAAAACUCUAGGUCCUCAGUUUUCUCAUUGGGAAAGACAUUCCCACCAAAAUGGGACAAGAAAUUCAGUUCAAAUCCCGCCUCAGUUGCUAACCGGUGUAACUUGUCCACAGGUGCAAGAUUGAGUGAGAAAUCCAUGAG